CUUGACGCCUGGUCAAA
rnacentral:misc_RNA from 1 species